rnacentral:rRNA from 1 species
AUUGAACGCUGGCGGAAUGCUUUACACUUGCAAGUCGAGCGGCAGCGCGGGGGCAACCCUGGCGGCGAGCGGCGAACGGGUGAGUAACACAUCGGAACGUACCCAGUGGUGGGGGAUAGCCCGGCGAAAGCCGGAUUAAUACCGCAUACGACCUGAGGGGGAAAGUGGGGGACCGCAAGGCCUCACGCCGUUGGAGCGGCCGAUGUUCGAUUAGCUAGUUGGUAGGGUAAAGGCCUACCAAGGCGACGAUCGAUAGCUGGUCUGAGAGGACGACCAGCCACACUGGAACUGAGACACGGUCCAGACUCCUACGGGAGGCAGCAGUGGGGAAUUUUGGACAAUGGGGGCAACCCUGAUCCAGCCAUUCCGCGUGAGUGAAGAAGGCCUCGGUU